CUCUAAGCAACCGGUUCACUGGAGUUGCAGAUUUUUACAAACACCCCUUGAAGUCCGCAUAAAUCCCUGAAAUGCGCACUUUAUUGCAGAUUUUUUCUCCAAAAAUUGGUGUGAAACAAAAGGGAUUAAAUGUUGUACAAGCAAAGGGAGUUUGAAGACUGAAGGACAGGAAUACAUUUCAAUAGACCCACAAUCCCAAAUUUAAGCACACAUAGUGAUUUUCCAAAAGCUGCUCCUGAACUAAGGACUACGUACUAACUUUAAGCAGUAAUGUUUAAGCUUUGAAUAGAGAUUAUAUAAUAGUAAAUGGGCCGGCCUAAAUUUUGAAAUCUUGUCAGGAAAUCAAAUGAAUUUAUUGUUUGCUUAUCAAAAAUUGCAUGUAAUUAUCACGUAAUUUAUAGCCAGGAAAUUUCAUGUUGUUCCAGAAAAAGCGAACACUGGAGUCAAAGCGGCUUAAAGUAUCAGCCAUCAUCAAUCUGCAGCGCUAGACAAAUGGAAUAUUUACAUUUCGAUUUAGAAUCGUUGCCAAAAAGCAGCUGAAAGCUUUGCAAAUAUUUUUUGUGUAAAGCGGAAUAAAAGUGCUGAAUGGCACACAUUUUGUUUAAAAUCAUUUUAACCCUUUAAAUGAAAAAAAAAGUGACUAUACGAAUGUGCUACAAACCUUUAAGUCUAUCAAGAUAUUUUGCCUUUGACAAAGCGAAAACCGCUGAACAGCGAACGGCAAUUGAAAUUGGCAAUGGCUGAGGCUAGGGCAAAAUAAAACCCCAAUUGAUUUAAAAUCCAGCCAAUAAAACUGCAACAAAAGCGAAGCAAAGUGAAAGCAAACAAGUUGCUUGCACGCCGAUAAAAUCGAACGAAAAUGGGGGAGAAAUUUUAAAUAAAUUCGCGACGAGGUGAGGGUUCGCUGGAAAAGCACGCGGAAAAACAAUAAGAAACCGAAAGCUGCAAAUAUAAAAUCUAAAAUUGACCAUAAACCCAACGGUGGCCCAGAAAUGAAGAUAAGCGGCGAACGCGAAAAGGAGAACACCAAAUUUCUCCCUCCCUUCUCGCUCCCUUUGUUUUUGGGUCUGUGAAUGCUCCUUUUUUGCCAGGACGAGCCGUAAUUUGCUGGGAGGAUUCGUGGGAGAUGGCAGUGCCAUCAUAAUAAUUUAAAGUGGAACUGAUAAUCUUUGGCAAGCUAAAGUGUCCUUGGCUGGCAGGAAAAGUCGAAAAGGUGGCUACAAACUGGAGGCGAAAGUGCUUAAAUAAAGCUGUAUUUGUUGCGUUCGCUUGGCGAGUAUUUGAGCCAUCUUUUGUAUUUUGGCUGCCAAAAUGUUUGCCAGCAUUUUCCCAGAGACAAAACUCAUGUCACUCUGCUGAUGUUCAAGCUGUUGGCUUUUCGGGAACAACAUAAGUUUAGUUUAUUAUCAGUUUUAUGCUAAUCGAUUUGAAGACACUUGACACAGCUGUCACCGCCAGUUAAAGUUGCAAAUUUUAACAAAUUUAUAUACAAUGUUAAAAAGUUUCAUACUAAAAUAAAAAUGAUGACAUUAUUUAUAAGAUAUAGAACUGCUGCUUACUGAAUAUUUUUAAGUAGAGAUUCCUGUAAAUAAACCAAAAAAGACCUUUUGGACUACGAGUA